rnacentral:rRNA from 1 species
CGGAACGUGCCCAGUCGUGGGGGAUAACGUAGCGAAAGCUACGCUAAUACCGCAUACGAUCUAUGGAUGAAAGCGGGGGAUCGCAAGACCUCGCGCGAUUGGAGCGGCCGAUAUCAGAUUAGGUAGUUGGUGAGGUAAAGGCUCACCAAGCCGACGAUCUGUAGCUGGUCUGAGAGGACGACCAGCCACACUGGGACUGAGACACGGCCCAGACUCCUACGGGAGGCAGCAGUGGGGAAUUUUGGACAAUGGGCGCAAGCCUGAUCCAGCAAUGCCGCGUGCAGGAUGAAGGCCUUCGGGUUGUAAACUGCUUUUGUACGGAACGAAACGGCGAGCUCUAAUACAGUUUGCUAAUGACGGUACCGUAAGAAUAAGCACCGGCUAACUACGUGCCAGCAGCCGCGGUAAUA